rnacentral:rRNA from 1 species
AUUGAACGCUGGCGGCAGGCUUAACACAUGCAAGUCGAGCGGGGAUUGGGUGCUUGCACCUAAUCUUAGCGGCGGACGGGUGAGUAAUGCUUAGGAAUCUGCCAUUUAGUGGGGGACAACAUUCCGAAAGGGAUGCUAAUACCGCAUACGUCCUACGGGAGAAAGCAGGGGAUCUUCGGACCUUGCGCUAAAUGAUGAGCCUAAGUCGGAUUAGCUAGUUGGUGGGGUAAAGGCCUACCAAGGCGACGAUCUGUAGCGGGUCUGAGAGGAUGAUCCGCCACACUGGGACUGAGACACGGCCCAGACUCCUACGGGAGGCAGCAGUGGGGAAUAUUGGACAAUGGGCGGAAGCCUGAUCCAGCCAUGCCGCGUGUGUGAAGAAGGCCUUUUGGUUGUAAAGCACUUUAAGCGAGGAGGAGGCUACCUGGAUUAAUACUCUAGGAUAGUGGACGUUGCUCGCAGAAUAAGCACCGGCUAACUCUGUGCCAGCAGCCGCGGUAAUACAGAGGGUGCGAGCGUUAAUCGGAUUUACUGGGCGUAAAGCGUGCGUAGGCGGCUGAUUAAGUCGGAUGUGAAAUCCCUGAGCUUAACUUAGGAAUUGCAUUCGAUACUGGUCAGCUAGAGUAUGGGAGAGGAUGGUAGAAUUCCAGGUGUAGCGGUGAAAUGCGUAGAGAUCUGGAGGAAUACCGAUGGCGAAGGCAGCCAUCUGGCCUAAUACUGACGCUGAGGUACGAAAGCAUGGGGAGCAAACAGGAUUAGAUACCCUGGUAGUCCAUGCCGUAAACGAUGUCUACUAGCCGUUGGGGCCUUUGAGGCUUUAGUGGCGCAGCUAACGCGAUAAGUAGACCGCCUGGGGAGUACGGUCGCAAGACUAAAACUCAAAUGAAUUGACGGGGGCCCGCACAAGCGGUGGAGCAUGUGGUUUAAUUCGAUGCAACGCGAAGAACCUUACCUGGCCUUGACAUAGUAGAAACUUUCCAGAGAUGGAUUGGUGC